rnacentral:rRNA from 1 species
UACAGGGGGUGCAAACGUUGCUCGGAAUCAUUGGGCGUAAAGCGCACGUAGGCGGUUCGUUAUGUCGGAUGUGAAAGCCCUUGGCUUAACCGAGGAAGUGCAUCCGAAACUGGCGAGCUAGAGUACGAAAGAGGAUCGCGGAAUUCCCGGUGUAGAGGUGAAAUUCGUAGAUAUCGGGAGGAACACCGGUGGCGAAGGCGGCGAUCUGGGUCGAUACUGACGCUGAGGUGCGAAAGCGUGGGGAGCAAGACGG